rnacentral:rRNA from 1 species
GACGAACGCUGGCGGCGUGCUUAACACAUGCAAGUCGAACGGUGAAGGAGAGCUUGCUCUCCGGAUCAGUGGCGAACGGGUGAGUAACACGUGGGCAACCUGCCCCCGACUUCGGGAUAACGCUUCGAAAGAGGUGCUAAUACCGGAUACGAACUCCUUGGGCAUCCUUGGAGUUGGAAAGUUUUUCGGUCUGGGAUGGGCCCGCGGCCUAUCAGCUUGUUGGUGAGGUAACGGCUCACCAAGGCGACGACGGGUAGCCGGCCUGAGAGGGCGACCGGCGGCACUUGGACUCGGACACGGCCCAGACUCCGACGGGAGGCAGCAGUGGGGAAGAUUGCGCCAUGGGCGAAAGAUUGACGCAGCAACGCCGCGUGAGGGAUGACGGCCUUCGGGUUGUAACCCUCUUUCAGCAGGGAAGAAGCGAAAGUGACGGUACCUGCAGAAGAAGCACCGGCUAACUACGUGCCAGCCGCCGCAGUAACAC